ACACUCUCAAAUUUUUCCCAGUAACCGAUCAGAGAAUAGAAGAUGGAAGAAAUCCAUCGUCGUCUUCCCCAAACCCUAUUCAACAACCCAGUUCAAUCGAUUCAAUCUCCCAAACCCUAGCGAACCCUACCAUGCCGUCUCCUUCAAACAUCUCUCAAUCCCCAUCAAUCGAAAUCCCUCAAAUCUCUUCCCCUUCUCUCUCUCACAGCAGCAAAUCACAUCAUCCUCAAUCCCACUAGAUUACCAACAAAAACCCCAACCCCAAC
rnacentral:lncRNA from 1 species